rnacentral:lncRNA from 1 species
AUGUGUGUAUAUAUACGUAAUCGAGGCAAGAGCGGAAUUUAUUCGGUAGGGAGAAAGACCUCAUAUUUUGAUGGAUUUGAUAAAUCCUGGGCUGCACGCGGGGAGCCCGGGCAGAAGUGCACCUGCAGGACCCCGAACUCCCCCGGUCCUGCCCCAGGCGGUGCCCCGGGGUCACUGGGAGGUCACGGGGAGCCCUGGGCACCACCUGCUCUGCCCUUGCGCUUCCCCCUCCGGGACUGUGGUGCACCCCCGGCCGCUCUACGUCCUCGCUGGUCAGUGACGUCAUACUUCUCUCCCCAAGCGUCAGAUGGUUCGCUGGAGGGACGCAGUGGCACCUGCCACUGGAGCAGGUGUGUCCUGUGCGAUUACUCUGAAAUCCACUGGUUUUCCUGGAGCGUGGGCAGAUCCGUACAUCUGGUAAUCGAUUGUGUCUCCUGGCUCGCCCCACUCGAUGAUCACCGUCUGUUCCUGGCGUGGUGCUCAGUACUCGAUUGUGCUGCAUUCGGCCAGCCUGCCUGGCGUCCGCGGGUGGUCCUGGGGGCGGGGCCGCGUCCGGGUCCUCACCGUGUGCACCGGGAAGGACGCGCAUUCCCGCUGUUUUCCUGCCUGCGGAAGCGUCCAGGCUGCGUCCCGGUGCCGACCCGCCGUGGCCCUGAUGCCCGCGCGUCCUCUGAGUCCCCUGCAGGGGCGCGGGUGUCUCCAGUCUUCCCUGGCCGCGGGGCCCGAGGGUGUGGCUUCUCCCUGGCUUCUCUGGGGGUGACACACCAUUUUCUCCUUUCUUCACUCAAGGAAUUUUCGCAGUAUUUGGUUGUCGAGGUGUUCCUUACAGUGGAUCGGUUAUCCACUUUUUUCCCUGGGCUGGCUCGGUCAUCGACUAUUUCCCCUGGGGUGGAUCGGUUAUCCACUUUUUUCCCUGGGCUGGCUCGGUCAUCGACUAUUUCCCCUGGGGUGGCUCGGUCAUCGACUGUUAUCCCUGUGCUUGUUCGGUCAUCGACUGUUAUCCCUGUCCUUGCUCGGUCAUCGACUGUUAUCCCUGUGCUUGCUCGGUCAUCGACUGUUUCCCCUAGAAGGGCCACCUAG